UUCGCGAAAUGUUUGUGGCUUGGGGCAAU
rnacentral:sRNA from 1 species